AGUUGCUUGGAUCAGAGCUGCUCAGGGCCUAGGAUGUAUGAGAAAGAGGGGCACUGUAUAUCAGGGGUGUCCUGAGGUAACCACUGAGAACAGGCACCUAGGCUGCUGAAACGGCACUGUGCAUCACAUUGAGAACCUUAGAAAAAUCUCAUAUUGUUGCAGAUCCCUUAGAAACCUAUGGGGACUGCUAUUACAGUCAGAAAUGGGGCACAAGCCAGAAUGGAAGAUACAGGUCAGGCGAGUUUGGGGGAGCUUCACAAGGAGUGGACUGAGGCUGGAGUUAGUGCAUCAAGAGCCACAACACACAGACGGAUACUGGUCAUGGGCUUCAAAUGUCGUAUUCCGCUUGUGAAGCCGCUCCUGAACAACAAACAACAUCAGAAGUGUCUUACCUGGGCUAAAGAAAAAAGAAACUGGUCUGUUGCUCAGUGGUCCAAGGUCCUCUUUUGGUGAAUCAUAUGUCGUGUCUGUCACAAUGGAAUUGCCCUUUUCUGAUGAGAGCAAAUUUUGCAUAUCAUUUGGAAACCAAGGUCCCAGAGUAUGGAGGAAGAAUGGAGAGGCACACAAUCCAAGUUGCUUUAAGUACAGUGUGAAGUUUCCACAGUCUGUGUUGAUUUAGGGGCUUUAUGGAGAUGUUGACUUCAUUUUCCAGCAGGACUUGGCACCUGCCCACACUGCCAAAAGUACCAAAACCUGGUUCAAUGACCAUAGGAUUACUGUGCUGGAUUGGCCAGCAAACUCAACUGACCUGAACCCCAUAGAGAAUCUAUGGGGCAUUGCCAAGAGAAAGAUGAGAGACAUGAGACUGAACAAUGCAGAAGAGCUGAAGGCCGCAUCCUGGUCUUCCAUAACACCUCAGCAGUGUCACAGGCUGAUAGAAUCCAUGCCACGCAGCACUGAGACAGUAAUUCAUGCAGAAGGGGUCCAAACCAAGUACUGAGUACAUAUGCAUCAUCAUACUUUUCAGAGGGCCGACAAUUCUGUAUUUAAAAUCCUUUUUUUAUUGAUUUUAUGUAAUAUUAAAAUUUUCUGAGAUUUUGGAUUUUCUUAAACUGUAAAUUGCAAUCAUCAAAAUUAUAACAAAUAAAGGCUUGGAAUAUCUCA